CCCGAGAUGCAAUUUCGGUUGUUCCCACAGCAUGUUUUCAUUGUACAGUAGAUGCAAGAGCUCCAGCUAGUGUGAGAACCGAGCUUGGAGAAGAAAAACACAGUAAUGGCACGGUUCCUGCAGGACUCCCAUGCUAUUUUCUCAGCAUUAAGAAAACGCUACAACAUCUAAGCAGCUGACCUUGUGGUGUGUCGUUUUCAUUUUCUAGGUCUGGGUGCCCAGAAGAUGACACAGAUCAAAGAAGGUCCCAGGUUACCAGGAGAAGCAAGAUAGUCAUCACUCAAGCAAUGCGACUUGGACAAGAACCAGCCUAAUGGCCAGGGUAUGAAGUGGUACCCAGAAGAUGGGUAAGCAUCCAUUCUAAGGAAUAGAAAGAGGAUGGCAGCAGAAAACAAGUAGAAAGGAUGACAGUUGCAAGAACGCAGAGGCACUGUGAUAGACUGUCAAAAAUGGGUUAAGGCAAGUGAUUUUUGAACUAAGCUUCCAACUGGAGAAUCCAAGUUGGAAUGCCCUUUGCAGGUGACAUUGCACAUCACCUAAACAGGAGUUGCCAUUCAGGGUGUGCUGGUCAGGAUGCCUCCUUUUUGCACACAAAUUGGCCUGCAGUAGCAGACUAAUGUUUUCGGGUUGUGUCUACUAUUUUUUAAUUUAGACUCCAUAAAGUCCCAUGGUGUGGGUACAGUGUUAAGGUCCUACAGAUAUUCAAAGAAGAGGAGAAUCUUCAAGAACAUGGAGAAAAGGAGUCAUUAUUUCCAGGGAAGGAAAUAAAGGGCAGGGGAAACAAUCAUGCACAGAUGAAGGGAACCAAAAUUUGAUUCUUUAUCUUUGUUCAUGUUUGGACUGCAUAAUAAAUCAGAGAAAAAGUGUCCUAGAAUAAAAUCUGCCCAAAGAUCUUGAAAAGGGUGAAGUUACAGUUUCACAGAUGAGUCCCCAGGGAGAUUAGAACCAGAAGUAGCUCUGCAGAGAGCUUGGAGACAGGACAGGGUAGUCCAGUCUGGGAACAUUCCCUACCUCUUUACCUUUUCCAGGUGAGAUAAGGGGCAAUUAAAAGAUUGGGAGUGCAUGGUUAUUACAGUUUUUUUUUUAUAGUAAAACAUUAUCAUGGUAGGAUUUUACUAAGUAGAAGCUGAGAUGGACAUAUUCAUUGCAUAAUUGCAUAAUUCUAUAUAGUUCUGAAACAGAGUGAUAUGGUACAGAAAGCAUUAUUGCUUAGAACAAAUUACCAAGGGAAAACGAGAAGAAAGGCGUGGCACCGAUAUCAGACCAUAUCUCCUUCUGAUCAACUUCUGCACUAGCCCCAGCAAGUUGACAAGCCAGUCUCUUUUGCAUUUCUUUAGCUAAAGUUAAGCAUUAGAUAAUCAACCUCUAUUACAAUUGCUAGUUUCUCAAGUGGAUAUCAAGGUAUGACUUUCUACAUACAUUCGAAUUCUACCUUUCAGUUUCUGUCACAGUUCCCUAAAUACGAGAAGCAUUGGGCUUAAUUUUAUUGAUGAUGAUUUCAUACUAAGGGCACAAGCUCAAAUAAUGCUUUUCCCUACUGAUACCUAUAAAAAGGUAUAAUUUAAGUUGAUGAUUGAUUUUUAAGAGAAGUGGGAAUGGAAUAAUUAAUUUUUUAUUUUAUUAACUUUUAUUUUUUUUUUGCUUUAGGUGUGCUUUAGUCAGCUUUUAGUUAUUGUGACCAAAAUACCUGAUGAGAACAACAUAGAAGAGGAAGAGUUUAUUUGGGGUUCAUGGUUUCAGAGGUUCAAUUCAUGGUUAGCUGACUCCAUUGUUCCGGGUCUGAGAUGAUGCAGAACAUCAUGGUGGAAGGACUUGGUGGAGGAAAGCUGUUUAACUCAGGGCAUGCAGGAUGCAGAAAGAGGGAGCAAGGUACUAGGGACAAAAUAUAAACCCCAAAGGUACGUUCCAGUAGCCUACCUCCUCCAGCCACACCUCACCUACCUGUAGUUAUCACCCAGUGCAGUGGUCUUUUCAAAUUAUUCAUCCAUCAAAUGAAUUAAUCCACCAAUUAGGUCACAGGCCUCAUAACCCAGUCAUGAGCUUUUGGGGAAACCUUCUAUGUAAAACAUAACAAGGUGUUCAUAGAUUCUAAUGGUUUCCCUGGGAGUAUGGAAAAAUAUGAAAAACUCACUUUAGAUUUAAAAUUUUGAAAACCCCUGUCUACAGACGAGUCCUGUUCCCUGCUAAGUUAUUCUGUUCAUAGCUAGACUUGUUUUGCAAACUGUGUGCUUCUACUUGCUUAUCUCAUGUCCUAUCAAAACAGAGCCUGUGGGGACUGUUCGUGUUCAUGUUUUGCCUUCCAGACUUUGAUCCGGUGAAAGAAUUCUUCUGGUGGAGGACACCAUAAAAGAAAGCACCUAUCUUUCUCAAGAGACAGAGGGCAGGCCUUCAGGCUUGCGAGAGCAGCUCACUCUAGAAGGGAGCAGCCUUAACGAGGGUGAGGAUGAAAGAAACUGGAAGGGAAGAAGGAAGAAAUUUCUCAUGUUGGUUGACAGUUUUAUCAAACACUUGGGUUAAUAAGAAAAAGGACUCUUUUGGUGAAGCUGUUUGGUCAACUGUACAGUACGAGUGGCACUUUGGGUAUGUCUGUUUCUUUCCCUCUAACCAUUCACAUACUUCCAAAUUAAAAGACAAGAGAAAAAGUUUCCCCCAAUUACAUUCCAUUUUGAGACCCUUAGAAGAAUGAUCCACUCAUACAAAUAAUGAUUUUUAUUUAUUGUUGUUAUGAAGCAAAGAAGGCUUUCAUCUAUCCCCAAGGAACUAGAAAAAAAGGUCUAGAACCUUUUCAGUCCCACAGUUUUGCCAAAAUAGUUGAGUUCAUCAAAGGAGAAAAGCCAUUUCCAAGUCUCCCUGGGACUUUAAGUUCCUCAGAAAGACUUCAGUGUCCUCAUCGAUAAGAUGAAGUCAAUGGACCAGCUGAGAAUAUUCAGGUUCCUUCCAAUCAUAAUAUCCUCAAACUUUGAUAAACCUUUCGAAGGGAUAUUUUCUGAAAUUUCAGAUUUGAAAUUUAGACAGAUUUGAAAUUUAGACUGGACAUAGCAAUCUGAGCCCGAAGGAUAAUUUGUUUAGCUUUUUGAUCAUCAAGAACAAACACAUCUGAGCUCAUAGCUGGGGACCAAAUAGUCAAACUGGUAGAAGAACUAGACCAUCUUUUCUGUGGUUGGGAAAAUUGGUUCAUCUCGCUAAUCUAUUUGGAGAUGGAGGACAGCCUUGCAAAAAUUAAUACCAGGAUGAGGCAUCUCAUGGUCAGAGGUGGUUUCAAUAGGGCUAUAAAACCAGCAACAUUUAUUUCUGUGCAACCUGAAAAGGCAGCUGAGAAUAUUUUCAGAGUGCACAGAGAAAGCUCAGUGUCAAUGAUCUCACUGGGGUGGCUGAACAAAAAUCAAUCUUUGAUAUCCAAAAUGUCAGUUGGAGAAAAAACACAGUCUGCAAACCUGAGAGGUUGGGGCUGUGUGUGGGCAGACUUCACCAAGGCACUCUUCUGAAACUUGAACGAGAAGAGACUUUGGGCAAUUAAAAGAGUACUGCUUUAUCUAUGAGACCUCCCAUUGCUGAGGGGCAACAGGGCGAAAUUGCUGGACUUGAUAUAGAACAUGAAAAGCAUGAGGUCACCUCAGGGAAUGAAGACACUGUAAGUUUACUGCUCUUUAUUUGAGAAUGAUAUCUUCAAGGUCAGCCUUGCACGAUCUCCCUUCCCCCAGUCCCACUCUUCCGCACUCACAAGGUCAUCUCUGUGAGGGACAGAACAUUAAAGACAGAGCUUGGAAAGACUAAGAGUCUGAUCCCAAACUAUAAGCAAAAGGCCCCCUGCACAGUAAGUGCCUGAUGCUGAUGUAAUCUGGGGAAGAUCAUUUAUUAUGACUUAAAUCAAAGUGCAACAAAACUGCCAAUCAAAAGUGAAGAUAAUUAAAAAUAUCUACAAGAACUAAAUGUCUGCUAGUUAGAGUUUGACCUCAAAUCCAAAAUAAUCAGCCUUCUCUUGCAGUUAUGAAAAUUCCAUUAGCUAAAAGAUCUACCUUUCUGAAUCCAGAUGUGGCUCUUUCUAUCAAAGAACACCCAAGCAGUAGGAGAACAUAAUUUGAGAGAAAGUCCCCACCUGCCACUCCAGUAGAACUGAGUUGAAAGGACUCAGGGCAUGAGUACGGGGGCAUGUAUUUGUGACCACUGCUCAAGCUGACUUUUCACCGGAUGAUCCUGAACAGACCCCAAGGAUUCAAUUGGGUAAACGUGCUAUAAUUGGAUGCCAAGGUAUAAAUUUCACAUGUGAUGGAUUAAUUCAAGGUCAAUGCCAACUUCACUGGGUGUGUAACGCAUCUUGCAAGAUGAAUGGAUUUAUGCUGCAGAGUUUGACAGCUGUGGCGCCAGAAGAUAAACAAAGCUACAAGAUCGUUCAUGAAAGUUCAAAAAACCAGAGAGCACAUAGCUGGCCAAGACCUUUCAAGAUCAGGCAGGUACUAGCAAUGGCUUUGUCCUGGAUAUUACAGGAUGCCCCUCCAAAACAGCAGCAGCCAACAACAAGCACAGUAGUGCCAACCAACUCUGGCUGCAUGCUUGGUUUUCAGGUGCCUUUGGGCCCUGUUCAUCAGCAAGCAUCACACCCUCCUGAGCAAAGAACACUAGGGAGGAAGGUGAAGACCUACUAGACAUACACCACUCAGGAGAGGGGAGUGUUGGCCAUGAACUAGCCUGGGAAAUACGUUAGCUACCCUAUGUGUGCCUUGUCCAGUCACCUGCCAUCUGCCACUGUGGACCUCUGGACUGCUUUGAUGCUGAAUUCCCCUAACUGUCCACACCCCCCCGAAAGAGAAUAAGGAUUUUGGGUUACUUUUCCCGUCUUUGCUCUCUUUCAACAGGGAGCAGCUUGGAGAUUUGUCAUCCAUUUUUUCAUAGAAAUGAAAUGUAGAAAUUGACAGUGGGGAAUGUAACAGUGGUCCACUUUAUGCUCUGAACACAGCCCUUGCUGCUCUGCCACUGCAACUGAUUUUUUAAAUGGACAUGUUUCUUUCUCCUUGUUCCUUCCUAAUCUUUCCCCAUUCUAGGCAGAGUCAUCUGUCCUUGAGCACACACCCACCACAGGAACAAUGUAAUCCAGACUUUGGGGAUGGCACCAGAAGAUCUCAGAAAUGACUCUCCCAAAUUAACAAGUGAAUUACAACUCCAACAGAGA